AGAGUUUGAUCCUGGCUCAGGAUGAACGCUAGCGACAGGCUUAACACAUGCAAGUCGAGGGGCAGCGGGGAGUAGCAAUACUUCGCCGGCGACCGGCGCACGGGUGAGUAACACGUGUGCAACCAACCCCGUACCGGGAGAUAACCCGCGGAAACGUGGACUAACAUCCCAUAACACUGUAUCAUCGCAUGGUGAUGCAUUUAAAAUUCCGGUGGUACGGGACGGGCACGCGCGACAUUAGGUAGUUGGCGGGGUAACGGCCCACCAAGCCGACGAUGUCUAGGGGUUCUGAGAGGAAGGUCCCCCACACUGGAACUGAGACACGGUCCAGACUCCUACGGGAGGCAGCAGUGAGGAAUAUUGGUCAAUGGGCGAGAGCCUGAACCAGCCAAGUCGCGUGAGGGAAGAAUGGUCUAUGGCCUGUAAACCUCUUUUGCCAGGGAAGAAUAAAAGGUACGUGUACCUUCUUGCCAGUACCUGACGAAUAAGCAUCGGCUAACUCCGUGCCAGCAGCCGCGGUAAUACGGGGGAUGCGAGCGUUAUCCGGAUUUAUUGGGUUUAAAGGGCGCGUAGGCGGGACGCCAAGUCAGCGGUAAAAGACUGCAGCUAAACUGUAGCACGCCGUUGAAACUGGCGACCUGGAGACGAGACGAGGGAGGCGGAACAAGUGAAGUAGCGGUGAAAUGCUUAGAUAUCACUUGGAACCCCGAUAGCGAAGGCAGCUUCCCAGGCUCGAUCUGACGCUGAUGCGCGAGAGCGUGGGUAGCGAACAGGAUUAGAUACCCUGGUAGUCCACGCCGUAAACGAUGCUCACUGGAUCUUGGCGAUACACCGCCAGGGUUCAAGCGAAAGUAUUAAGUGAGCCACCUGGGGAGUACGUCGGCAACGAUGAAACUCAAAGGAAUUGACGGGGGCCCGCACAAGCGGAGGAACAUGUGGUUUAAUUCGAUGAUACGCGAGGAACC
rnacentral:rRNA from 1 species